UUUGGUUGCAAAUAAAGAUAAACGUUAUAUCAUAGCACCUUACAUCCAAGAUGACCACUGGAUGUUGCUCCUUUUUUGUCUUAAUGAAAGUGCUAUCUACGUGUUUGAUUCAUUGAAAAAAGAAAGGAAGAUACGGUUGACAAUACCUGCACGAAUGGCAUUCAAAUUAUACGUGUCUCAAGGUGGACUGAGGAACAAUAGAAAAGAAUUUAUAUGGCAUCACACUGAGGUUCAGUGUCCUCAACAGGUAGGAGGUAGAGAAUGUGGAUUUUUUGUCAUGAGGUACAUGUAUGACAUAGUCAUGAUUUCUCAGAAAAAUUCUAACACGAACUGGAAAGUGGUAAGAGAAACAACUCAAAC